UCCAGUAACCCCCAAAAGAACGAAACCUAGCCGCUCUCUCCCUAGGUCUCAAAGCCUCGCUCUCUGCACCUCCCAGUGCCGGCGAGGGACCGUUCCUCCCACCACGUCGCAGCGCCGCCGACCUUCCUCGCAGCGCUGCCCUUCCACUGCUCCCAGGACCUCCUCACAGACAGAGCAGCCCCGCACACACCCAGCCACACUCAGCGCCUAGCAGCCCAGGACCUCCCUCGCAAGUCGCACCCAGCAAUAGCACAGAGCACCCGCCACCCAGCACCAUCCUCGCAAGUCGCACCCAGCACCACCACUCACCCAGCGGACACAAAGCACCGUUUCAACUUGACUGAAAUUGCUGUUGUUCAUUACUUCAUCUCCAAUUGCUUCAACUGCUUCUGUUAGCUCUCAGGCUCGAAGCCUUUUACACUUCCUAGUUCCCACCAGCCAUCAGCACCGAAGCCUUCUUCCUCGUUCCCAGUGAGCACCGACACAGCAACAUAAUUAUAAGUCAGCUUCGGGAGAAAUCCAUUUCUAUAAGUUAGCCAAUACACAUUGUCCAAAAAUCUAAUCCUCUUGAUGAGGCUCUAAAACAAAACUGGAUUCAUCGUCCAGCGUCCAUCAUUGUGGUAAGCGUCCAUCAUUGUGGUAAGCCGGUUGCCGUGUUAUUAAAUUGAAAUAAUUUUAGUUUAACAAAAAAAUUAUCAUAAAAAGAAAAAAAAAGUAAUCAUGAAAGGCAAAAAAUUAUACCGGGUUUUUAUAUCUUUGAAGGAGGAAAUCAAGUUGAUGAUAACAUAGUUUUUCAAUUUCAACAUGACUUGUCUACAAUAGACGAUUAAUUACUUGUGAAAUUAUUGAUCUCAAAUUCUAGACAUGCAUUUGUUUUUCAUUAAUAUUAGUUGUAUGUUGUUUUUCCAUAUUUGUCAAAAUAUCACGAAACUGCCUAGAGCUAGAUAAUUCAAUUUUUUUAGAAUCGAUCUUCAAGUUACCAUGGUAUCCCUUCCAUGAACAUCUUUUUCAAAGUCGCCAAAAUAGGUUUGAAGAUCAGUAUAAAUUCCUCCUUUAUGUACAACCACCAAUUUGUUGUUGGUCGUUUCUGUAAUUUCUUUUCCAACGAAAUACUUAAGCUCUGUUUAUAAUAGUCCGUGAUUGCCCUUCUUUCGAAGAGAUGCAAAAGGCUAACUUUUCCCUUUCCACAAAAGGCGGUGGUUCAUGAAUUUAGUGAAAAGGCUAACUUUGAUACUGGUAAAAGAUAGUAUCAAAGACAUUUUCUGCAAUACCAAUUAUGAAAAUUGUCUCAAUGUCUUUUCUGCAUCUCUCCGAGGGAAAGGCAAUCACGGGCUAUUAUAAAUCGUGCUUUAAGUAUUUGGUUGAAAGAGAAAUUCCAGAAGCGAUCAGCAACAGGUUGGUUGUUAGUACAUAAGGGAGGAAUUUAUACUGAUUUUCAAACUUGUUUUGUCAGCUUUGAGAUCAAUAAUUUUACACGUCAUUAACCAUCCAUCUAUUUGCAGACAAGCCUCUCAAUGUUGAAGUUGAGAAGCUAUGCUAUCAUCAAUUUGAUUUUCUCUUUUAAAGAUAUAAAACCGGUAUAAUUUUUUUGCCUUUUAUGAUUUUUUUUUUCUUUAUGAUUUUUUUUGUUAAACUGAAAUUAUUUCGAUUUAAGAACACUAACCGGCUUAAUACUAAGAUGGACUUAAUACUAAGAUGGACGCUGAAUUUAGUUUUGUUUUGGAGCCUCAUCAAGAGGAUCAGAUUUUUGGGACAAUGUGUGUAUUGACUGGCUUGUAGAAAUGGAUUUCUCCCCAAGCUCGUCUCUGCAUUUGGAUACAAUCAUGCAAUGGAUUUUUCUUUGCAUUUGGACAAUGACUAUUUAAAGAAAAUAUACAUCCAGCGAUAUCCAGCGAUGUCUACGGUCUACAAUCAUGCAAAAGACAAAUAUCCUAACCAGUAUAAAUCCAACGAAGCAUCAUAAAGUUCUAUAGAAACUGCAUGCAACACACUUGGAUUUCCUGAAAACCCAAAAUGGAAAGCAAUAAUCCUUUAUUUAACUUAUAUAUGUGGAAGGACUAGACAUUAAAAAAAGCAAACUAAUGUUAGAGAGCAUUGGUAGUGGAACAAUUCUCUGAAUCGGCAGGAACCUGAGCAAGAGGUUGUUUCUUAUUUUUUUGAUGCGAAGUUACUUUAUUGGAAUCUUGUUCCAUUAUUCAAUAUCAGUUGUAUCACCUGCUUUAUUUGGUGAUGUAUUCAAGAGAAUUGAAUUCAGUUUAUAAGGAAUUGCAGCAUUGCCCUUGACAAAUCAACAAAUUACAAAGUAGGUAGAAGUUAGAAUGUCUUAUCAUUCAUCAACUAUGACGACAAAUUUAGCAUAACCAAACAGCGUAAAUCUAUUCCAUAUUAAAUUCCUCGAGGCACGUUAAAUUGGUAUCUUGAGGGCCUUGGCCUUUUAUAACAAGAAAGGAAUCCUAAAAACCUAAACAAGAUUUCAAACAGAUAAAGUAUCUGGUUCACAUCAAGGUAACUAGAGGGUUCAUCAAACAUAUAUAUCUCUGCAUUCUGGAUGGCAACAACUGCAAUGGCAAACCUUUAGAGCUCUCCACCAGAAAGAUCACCAACAUUACAAUCUAUAACUUGGUUAAGCUCUAGAUCAGCACAAAGCUCUGCCUUCUUAUCUUUCAUCUUUCUGAUCAAGCACCUUCCCCACAUUUCCUUGCACUGCUUUUGGAAUGUGGUCAACAUACUGAGGCUUGAUGAUAGCCUAUAUAUAAUUCACGAUCAAUCAAAAUAAGCACAAUUACUAAGAUGUAUACACAUCUUUUUCUUACGAAAAGUAUGAUACCUUUUCAAUAAAUUCAAGCAACAGCUUAAAGUUGAAUAGUGAGCGCUCAAAAAUUUGUCAGCACAUCAAAACCCACAUUACCAAGUACAAAAUUAAAAACGGUUUUAUUGAACACUAAGACAGA